CCUACGGGUGGCUGCAGUGGGGAAUAUUGGGCAAUGGGCGCAAGCCUGACCCAGCAACGCCGCGUGAAGGAAGAAGGUUUUCGGGUUGUAAACUUCUUUUAAGAGGGAAGCGCAGACGACGGUACCUCUUGAAUAAGCUAUGGCUAACUACGUGCCAGCAGCCGCGGUCAUACGUAGGUGGCAAGCGAUGUCCGGAUUUACUGGGUGUAAAGGGCGUGUAGCCGGGCUGACAAGUCAGGUGUGAAUUCCGGGGGCUCAACCCCCGAACUGCAGUUGAAACUGUUGGUCUUGAGUAGCGGAGAGGCAGGCGGAAUUCCUGGUGUAGCGGUGAAAUGCGUAGAUAUUAGGAGGAACACCAGUGGCGAAGGCGGCCUGCUGGACGACAACUGACGGUGAGGCGCGAAAGCGUGGGGAGCGAACAGGAUUAGAUACCCUAGUAGUC
rnacentral:rRNA from 1 species